rnacentral:rRNA from 1 species
AAACGACUCUCGGCCACGGAUAUCUC